rnacentral:rRNA from 1 species
AUGUUCUUUGAUGGCUCUAAGAUGUUGAAUGGUUCCGGUGCUGGGGUUGUCCUGGUUUCCCCCAGAGGAGAUAAGCUCAGAUAUGUACUCCAGAUUCACUUUGAUUCCUCCAACAAUGAGGCAGAAUAUGAGGCCCUCUUAUACGGAUUGCGCAUGGCCAUUUCACUCGGCGUCCGUCGCCUGAUGGUCUAUGGCGACUCGGAUUUAGUGGUCAACCAAGUGAUGAAGGAGUGGGACGUGAGAAGCCCAGCCAUGACUGGAUACUGCAGUGCAGUGAGGAAGCUGGAAAAGAAGUUCGAGGGGUUGGAGCUCCAUCAUAUACCCCGACUGAAAAAUCAAGCAGCUGAUGAUCUAGCAAAGAUAGGUUCCAAGAGAGAAGCCAUUCCGAGUGGUGUGUUCUUGGAGCAUAUACACACUCCGUCAGUCAAAGAAGAUCCUUUCACCGAAGAAGCUCCACAGCCCAAGAGUGCCACAGAUCCGACUGAGGUUGAAGUCCCAGCAGUGGUCGACUUGGUCAUGGAGGCCUUGGUGGUCAUUCCCGACUGGACAGUUCCAUAUAUCGCGUAUAUCCUGAGAAAAGAGCUCCCGGAGGAUGAGGAAGAGGCUCGACAGAUCGUCCGUCGAUCUAAGGCCUUUACCGUAAUCAAAGGACAAUUAUACAGAGAAAGCGCGACUGGAGUUGGUCAGAAGUGCAUAACACCAGAAGAAGGUCGAAUCAUCCUCAAUGAUAUCCACUCGGGAACCUGUGGUCAUCAUGCGUCCUCUCGGACCAUCGUGGCCAAAGCAUACCGAGCCGGAUUUUACUGGCCGAAGGCGAAUGAGAUGGCAAAGGAAAUAGUGGAUAAGUGCGAGGGAUGUCAGUUCUACUCGAAUAUGUCGCACAAGCCUGCAUCGGCUCUGAAGACCAUCCCACUCGUCUGGCCUUUCGCAGUAUGGGGGUUGGACAUGGUCGGUCCUUUGAGAACAGGGCGAAGUGGCUUCACGCAUGUACUGGUGGCAGUCGACAAAUUCACCAAGUGGAUUGAGGCUAAACCAAUCAAGAACCUUGACGCCGGUGCUGCUGUUAGCUUCAUCAGGGAACUAAUAUUCAGAUAUGGAGUCCCGCACAGCAUCAUUAUGGAUAAUGGGUCGAACUUUGACUCGGAAGAAUUCAGGGAUUUCUGCAACUCUCAAGGCACACGAGUCGACUACGCUUCAGUCGCCCAUCCACAGUCGAAUGGACAAGCAGAGCGAGCCAAUGGCCUGAUUCUCAAGGGAUUGAAACCCCGACUGAUGCGUGAUCUCAAGCAUGCAGCUGGAGCUUGGGUCGGCGAACUUCCCUCGGUGCUUUGGGGACUGCGGACCACACCUAAUCGGUCGACCGGAAGAACCCCAUUCUUCUUGGUCUACGGAGCUGAAGCAGUCUUGCCGAGUGAUCUUCUCCACAAUGCUCCUCGAGUUGAAAUCUACAAUGAAGCAGAAGCUGAACAAGCGCGGCAGGACGCAGUCGACCUUUUAGAGGAAGAAAGGGAGAUGGCUCUGAUCCGGUCGACCAUCUACCAACAAGAUUUGCGUCGUUUCCACGCCAGAAAUGUGAGGGGUCGAGCCUUCCAGGAAGGAGAUUUAGUUCUCCGAGUGGAUCAGAAGAAACAACACAAGCUUGCUCCUUCUUGGGAAGGACCCUUCAUCGUCACCAAAGUUCUCCACAACGGGGCGUACCGUCUUUACAACAUCGAGCAUAAUAUCGACGAGCCCCGAGCUUGGAACGCGGAACUACUCCGCCCAUUUUACACUUAA